rnacentral:ncRNA from 2 species
AGAUAUUUACUACUCCGAUCUUCAAGAGCCCAUGGUGGGUUUUUGGAGACGAUAGGGUAUGGAGAGUAAUUUCCAUGCCUGCUGUUUGCAAAGGAGUUCAUAAGUUUUUAUG